GACGAACGUUGGCGGCGUGCUUAACACAUGCAAGUCGAACGGAAAGGCCUGCUUUCCCUUGUGGAUUGCGGGUACUCGAGUGGCUAACGGUUGAGUAACACGUGAGUGAUCUGCCCCCAACUUGGGUAUAAGCCUGGGAAACUGGGUCUAAUUCCCGAUAGGACUGCAGGGUGGUGCCUGUGGUGGAAAACGAUUUUCUAGUGGUUGGGGAUGAGCUCGCGGCCUAUCAGCUUGUUGGUGGGGUAAUGGCCUACCAAGGCGGCGACGGGUAGCCGGCCUGAGAGGGUGGACGGCCACAUUGGGACUGAGAUACGGCCCAGACUCCUACGGGAGGCAGCAGUGGGGAAUAUUGCACAAUGGGCGGAAGCCUGAUGCAGCGACGCCGCGUGGGGGAUGACGGCCUUCGGGUGGUAAACUCCUUUCGACCGCGAGGAAGCCACCUGGUUGGAAGGGUGGUGACGGUAGUGGUAGAAGAAGCACCGGCUAACUACGUG
rnacentral:rRNA from 1 species